rnacentral:rRNA from 1 species
CAGUAGCCGCGGUAAUACGCAGGGUGCAAGCGUUAAUCGGAAUUACUGGGCGUAAAGCGUGCGCAGGCGGUUAUAUAAGACAGAUGUGAAAUCCCCGGGCUCAACCUGGGACCUGCAUUUGUGACUGUAUAGCUAGAGUACGGUAGAGGGGGAUGGAAUUCCGCGUGUAGCAGUGAAAUGCGUAGAUAUGCGGAGGAACACCGAUGGCGAAGGCAAUCCCCUGGACCUGUACUGACGCUCAUGCACGAAAGCGUGGGGAGCAAACAGGAUUAGAUACCCCAGUAGUCCCUGUCUCUUAUAC